rnacentral:lncRNA from 1 species
GAGGACAGUUCCUCUUCUAAUGACCCUGCUUCUUACAAUAGAAGCACUCUGCCUGACUUUUGGAUCCUAGUACUUUGCAUCCUUUUAUUUAUUUUUUUUUCUCUUUCUUAAAGGGAUGACGCCCACCUAAAGAAGAUCCUCCCACUACAUUCACCGUCUCCUUAUGGAGUUGGUGAUCCUUCUCAAAAAUCUAUAACAAUCACAAC